UGGUGAUGAUGGCGAAGAGGUCACACCCGUUCCCAUACCGAACACGGAAGUUAAGCUCUUCAGCGCCGAUGGUAGUUGGGGGUUUCCCCCUGUGAGAGUAGGACAUCGCCAGGCU
rnacentral:rRNA from 5 species